rnacentral:rRNA from 1 species
UACGGGGGAUGCAAGCGUUAUCCGGAAUUAUUGGGCGUAAAGCGUCCGCAGGUGGCUAAUCAAGUCUGCUGUCAAAGGUUGGGGCUUAACCCCAAAAAGGCAGUGGAAACUGAGAAGCUAGAGUGCAGUAGGGGUAGAGGGAAUUCCCGGUGUAGCGGUGAAAUGCGUAGAGAUCGGGAAGAACAUCGGUGGCGAAAGCGAUCUACUGGACUGCAACUGACACUCAGGGACGAAAGCUAGGGGAGCGAAUGGG